UAGGGAAUCUUCCACAAUGGACGCAAGUCUGAUGGAGCAACGCCGCGUGAGUGAAGAAGGUUUUCGGAUCGUAAAGCUCUGUUGUUGGUGAAGAAGGAUAGAGGCAGUAACUGGCCUUUAUUUGACGGUAAUCAACCAGAAAGUCACGGCUAACUACGUGCCAGCAGCCGCGGUAAUACGUAGGUGGCAAGCGUUGUCCGGAUUUAUUGGGCGUAAAGCGAGCGCAGGCGGAAGAAUAAGUCUGAUGUGAAAGCCCUCGGCUUAACCGAGGAAUUGCAUCGGAAACUGUUUUCUGAGUGCAGAAGAGGAGAGUGGAACUCCAUGUGUAGCGGUGGAAUGCGUAGAUAUAUGGAAGAACACCAGUGGCGAAGGCGGCUCUCUGGUCUGCAACUGACGCUGAGGCUCGAAAGCAUGGGUAGCGAACAGGAUUAGAUACCCUGGUAGUCCAUGCCGUAAACGAUGAGUGCUAAGUGUUGGGAGGUUUCCGCCUCUCAGUGCUGCAGCUAACGCAUUAAGCACUCCGCCUGGGGGAGUACGACCGCAAGGUUGAAAC
rnacentral:rRNA from 1 species